GUGUCAGCAGCCGCGGUAAUACGGGGGGGGCAAGCGUUGUUCGGAAUUACUGGGCGUAAAGGGCGCGUAGGCGGCCAUCUAAGUCAGACGUGAAAUCCCUCGGCUCAACCGAGGAACUGCGUCUGAUACUGGAAGGCUUGAAUCCGGGAGAGGGAUGUGGAAUUCCAGGUGUAGCGGUGAAAUGCGUAGAUAUCUGGAGGAACACCGGUGGCGAAGGCGGCAUCCUGGACCGGUAUUGACGCUGAGGCGCGAAAGCUAGGGGAGCAAACGGGAUUAGAAACCCUCGUAGUCC
rnacentral:rRNA from 1 species